rnacentral:rRNA from 1 species
UACGUAGGGGGCAAGCGUUAUCCGGAUUUACUGGGUGUAAAGGGAGCGUAGACGGCUUUGCAAGUCUGACGUGAAAAUCCGGGGCUCAACCCCGGAACUGCGUUGGAUACUGUGAGGCUUGAGUGCCGGAGAGGUAAGCGGAAUUCCUAGUGUAGCGGUGAAAUGCGUAGAUAUUAGGAGGAACACCAGUGGCGAAGGCGGCUUACUGGACGGCAACUGACGUUGAGGCUCGAAAGCGUGGGGAGCAAACAGG